ACAGAUGUGAUGAUGCUUUCCCAAGAUGAUCGAAGAUGAAAUUAUCGAGCGCGGUUCUUAUUAAAUGAGAAAUCCAAAUCAGAAAUCUUCUUAUCCAU